rnacentral:lncRNA from 1 species
GGGGAUUUAAAUUUUUCCCCUUUUCUCUCCCGUCUUUCCCUGGAAUUGAGGGUGGGGUGAGUGUAGGGUCCUCCCCUUCCUUCCCUAGCCCCUGGUUACUGGGGGAAAGGCAAGCUCCAGAGGGUGGCGACAGUAUGAAGAGAUCGUUGGAACAAAAGAAGGGCAGGUUUGGAUUGCUGGACACGUCCUCCUGGAGUUGGAGAGACCCCCCCAUUCCAUUGGCACCCCCUCCUAUCAACCCCCCAGCUCCCUAGACAAGGAACUCAAUGUCUUCCAGCCGGGAGAGCAGCAAGAGAAAGAAAGAAAGAAGCAAACGAAAUUCCUGAAUGGAUAGGAGAUGCUACGUCAGCGGUACCCGAGUCGCAUCCUCCACUCCACAAGAGAAGAGCUAGGAGAGACCCGCGGCGGUGCAGCCACGCGCCAGCGCCAGCGCCAGCGCCAGCGUCGUUGGUUGCCUCCUCCUUACAGAGGCAAGGGCCAGUCAUAGAAGCAGCCUCGUUGUUCAUCGGUUCAUUGAUGUCAUCAUAGGUGGCCCACAUCUCUGGCUUUGGGCUUCUCCCCUGGGCGGGUGGGUGCUCCACCCUCCCGCCCUCUCCGCUCUGUGGACAAGGACGUGAGGACCAGAGACAUCCAGCACCACGGACAGCUCCCAGCGAUGACCCAGAAAGCCAGGUGUGGUGCUUCACACCUGUAAUCUCAGCACCUGGACAUCUGGGGCAGAAGAAUGGCCAAAGAGAAGACCUGACCUGGCCCCAAGCUCCCCAAGGGCAAAGUGUGUUCCCAGAUUGAGAAGGGGCUGCCUCCAGCAAACAGAUGUGAACAGAGGCAGAGGGCACCACCCGGCAGCUUCUCCCCAAGCUAUGGAAUGCGGGCUUUGCUCACCUGGUCACUUCCAGCAAGUUGUCCCACCCGGCCCAUCUAUUUCUCCUGUUGCCUCUCGGCUGCAUCCCUAAAUCCUACCCCAUGUCCAAUAAAGAGUGUUGCAGACUGAACAGCAGCAGUUGCCUAUGUGUGUGCUGGGCAGGGACUGGGGAGUGUUGGGUGCUCUAUAAUAUCGCAGCACUACAAAACAGCACAGCCACAACUGGUGGGGCUCCCCGAAGCCUGCCUGCAGUUCUAGG